GUUUAUUUAUCAGAGCACUUUGGCAGGAAAAAAAAAACUGCAGAAGCUUCUUCAGACUUAAAUUUUUCAAGAACAUUAUCUGAAGGGGAUAAGAUCUUCACUAAGAAAGGUAAAGUAGUAUACCUGGAGAUAAAUAUAAGCCUUUAUUUUGCCAGCAUUAAUUAUAGAUAUUAACUAUUUAGAUAAUUGUAGAUAAUAAUUACUUAAUUGCUAAGAGGUACAAAAUUAUAAGAAAUUUUCAGAAUAUUAUUCAAUCAUCAUUUAUAUUUCAAAUGUUAACUAAUGUCUACAGAUUCUCUUCAUCUUAGGCUCAUAAGCAUUAAUCAUUUACCAAAAUAUAAAUAGGUUAAAUGCUUUUUUGGUGUAUUUACCUUUUUUCCUUUGAAGUUGAGGGUACCAGGCUGCUCCAAGACCCCAUAAUACAAGCACAUAGUGUUGACCUUGGGCCUGUUCCACUGUUAACAUAACUUUCCUUUGCUUCUGUCCUCUGUAAGUGUAUAAUGAUUCUGGAAAAGGAAAAGAAGAAAAUGUGGAUUGGGCUUAGUUUUAGCACAGGUGACAUUAUAAUAUCUCAUGACAAAUAAAUAGUGAUAACUAGAUGAUAAACUAAGAUGGUCUUGUAUCUUAAUCUUUUUAUAAUCUAAAAUCAAAGAGUCACUCCAAAUGUUUACCUGUCAGUAUAGUGAUAUCCACAACUCUUAGUACUGCAUGGACUAAUCUAUCAGGUUGUAGUCGCUCCAAUUCUACAAACUCUAUACUGUUCACUUUCUGAGGCUGCCUCUGUGGAAGAUCUUCAAGAUAAAAAUGUUUUGAGGACACAUAUGCCAGUAAAUCCUGAAGUGCAACAUCACUAACUAUAUUGGAAUCUAAGGAAGGAAAAAAACAUACAAACAAUGGACAAAGAAUGACAACAUCAUGUUUUCUUGAUAAUGCAUAAUAUUUUCUUAGAACUAAAUUUUAUGUUAUAAAGUGUGAUUAGACAUAAAACCUGACUUAAUUUGUACAUAAACAUAUUCUUAAAUCAGCUUAAAUGCAAAAACAACAGUUGAUAUUUUUCAGCAAUGGAAACAGAAUUAUUUACUAUAUCAAAAAAAAGUCUGCUCUUUUCCCCUUCUUCUCUAUUUGGUUAAAAAUAUCAUUUUUGGGGCUGGGGAUGUGGCUCAAGCAGUAGCGCGCUUGCCUGGCAUGCGUGCGGCCCGGGUUCGAUCCUCAGCACCACAUACAAACAAAGAUGUUGUGUCUGCCAAAAACUAAAAAAUAAAUACUAAAAUUCUAAAAAAAAAUAAAAAUAAAAAUAUCAUUUUUAUACUAAUUAGCCAAGCUUAAAACUCCCAUCAUUUUUUGACUCCUCCACCAGUGUGAUAAUAUUCAUUGGUUUCCCAAUCCCUUGAGCAUGACUUGUCUUUCCCAUCUAUCCUGACCACUGCCAUUCCUCUACAAGCCCCUUAGCACUUCCCAUUGGAAAUAAUCUACAAGACACCUAACUGGUUCUCUCCCUGAACACGCCCUUCCUUUUCCCAUGUUUAUGCAGCUGAUGAUGAGCAGCUGUAAUGCUCUCACUUUGAUUAGACUUCAAUGCUUUCAUGUUCUUUCACCAUCUAAAUACCACAUAUUUUAACAACCACUUCAGGCUCACAGGGACUUUUCCUCCUCUAAAUUCAAGAUUUUUUUUUCUCUCUAACUCUCAUUUGGCAUUUAAACAUGUGCCACAUUGCAAUAAUGCUCAAUUGUAAGACUGGUUAUUUAAUUCUUCAGUCAUAUUUAAAUUACUAUCUUGUCUCAAUUUUUUCUCAUUUUUGAGGCAUACUUUACAUACAGUAAAAUAUAUGAUUUUGAAAUAUACAGAUUGAUAAAUUUUUUAAAUUUUAACUUGUUCUAUAUGCUAACAGAAUGCAUUACAAUUCAUAUAACACAUAUAAAGCACAAUUUUUCAUAUCUCUGGUUGUACAUAAAGUCACACCAUUCAUGACUCAUUCCACCGUCUUUCCUUCCCCCAGACUCCUCCCUUCCCCUCCCUCCCCUUUACCCCAUCUAGAGUUCACAGAUUGAUGAAUUUUGAUGUCUAAAUUUUAAUUUCCCUGAAGGAAAAUGCUUGCUUGAUUACUGACAAACCAUAAGAUACUGGCAAAAAAUGUACUUGUUAUUUUUUAGAAAGCAGAAUUUAUAAGCUGAUUUAUGAUUCCUCUUUUCUUCUAUUAAUUUGCUCAUCAUUGUAUACUCCGUCAGCUAGAUAAACCCUCAUUAUUCACUCACUCUUCAGUAGAUUAUCUACUAAGGGCCAAGCACUAUAUCAGGUACUAAAAAUACAGAAACAAACCAUGUCACAAUCUCAACACUGAAGGAGUCAUUGACCUACAGAUGGACAACAACAAACACUGGCCACAUGAUGUAAGGCAUGUAGGUAAGCAUUCCUAAGAGCACAGAGAAAAAGAACUCCCUGGGAAAGCUGGGAGAGGCUUUAAUGAGGGAAUACUUGAGCAGGGUUUUAGGAAAAUGUCUAAGAGUUUUUAGGUCAAGAGUUGCUUUAUAUUUCAAGAUAAAUAGAAGGAGUUAUAAAUCUAUAGAUGCUUUUGAUAGUCUGAUGAAGCAUUCGAAGUCCUAUCUAAAUAAUAUUUAUUAUAAUAGUCUUCCUGCAUAACAAUAUACAGCAGAUUAUCUACUACUGUAAUUUUAAAGUAAUGAUGGUAUACAUGAUAUUCAAGUUAUCUUCAAUAAUUGUACUGUAAGUGGGGUUAUGACUCGGUAGCAGAGCACUUGCCUCACACAUGUGAGGCACUGGGUUCGAUCCUCAGCACUACAUAAAGAUAAAUAAACAAAAUAAAGUUUAAAAAGAACCCAGAUAUUAAAAAAAAAAUUAUACUGUAACAUGAUAAUAUGUGAUUUAAUACUGCUAAUAUCAAUGCAUAUUAUUGUCUUAUUUGCAAUGCAAUGACAUGUUAAAUUUAAGGGGAGAGUAAAGAAAAGAUUUCUAGCCAGCUGAGUUGAUGGAUUAGAAUAAAUGUUUGAAAAGUUUUAGAAUAUGAUAAAAAGAAACAUACCCUAACUAGGAUUACUCAAUUCCCAAAUGAAUUCUAUGGAAUAAUGCUGAUCUCACUUACAAAGAUAAUAUAUGUAAGAAAAAGGACAGCAUGAAAAAUGAAUGAGGGGAACAAUAGCAAGAAGUCAAUUAGAUUACAACACCACCCAACUUCAAACUUCCAUAGCUCCAAAUUAUUAACCAGACCGAAUUCUUCCACAGUAUUUCCAGCACAUCUGGACUCAGAAAAGCUGGGUUAAAAUUCUGACUUUGUCAAUAAUGAGCUCUUGUAAUUCUCUGGGCCGUUAGGGAAGAAAAGUACAUAUACUUUGGGGGGCUCUGUGUUUUGCAUGUAACAGUAUAUCCUGGAAAUGACUCAUAUCUUUUUCAUUCUUUUUUACAGCUGCAUAGUAUUCCACUGUGUGACUACAUUACAUAAUCAUCUUCCUAAGUAUAAGCAUUUAGAUUUUUAACAAUGUUUUGCAAUUAUAAACUACUGCAAUGAAUAAACUUGUGGAUAUGUAAUUUUCAUAUUAUUGGAAGUAUAUCUCCAGGGAAGAUUCCUAGAAGUAGGACUGCUACUUUGAAAGCAAAGUGCAUAUGUAAUUUCAUUAGGCACUGCCAAAUAUUCUCCAGAAGGGUCUAACAAUUUUUGUUCCCACCACCAAUGUGUGAGAAUAUCUGUAUACCCACAGCCUCAUCAAAAGAAUAUGUUGCCAUAUUUUUAAAAUUUUACUAAUAAUUGAGAAAUUAUAUCUCCCUAAAGUUUUAAUUUUAAUGUCUUUAAUUAAAACUGAGUGAAUUAUGUUUGAGGGCCAUUUCUAAAUUAUUUUUUGAAAAAUGCCAUUCAUUUCUUUUCCCUGUUUUCUCAUUUCCUCUCAGUUCCUUUGUCACUCAAUUUUUUAAAGUUCUUUAUAUAAUGAGAUAUUAGCCUUUUGUUUAGAGUAAUGUUGCAAAUAUUUUCUUCAAGUUUGCCAGUUGUGUUUUGGCUUUCUUUGCAAUGCUUUUGGUCAUGAAAAGGUUUAUUUCUCUGUAGUCCAAUUCAUCAGUCUUGCCUUACUGUGUCUGGAUUUUGAGUAAUAUUAAGAAAGUCUUUCCCUAUACCAAGAUUAAGAGAUUCAACCAUGUUUCCUUCUAGUAGAUGAUUUUAUUUUUUACAUUUAGCUUCUCAAUCUGUUUGGUAUUUGUUAUUCUGUUUGUUAUGACAUGUUCCUAAUUUUAUUUUUUGCCAAAUGGUUACCCAGUUGCCUCAACACUAUUAAAAAGUUACCCUUUAUGUCAAUGAUUUCAGAUAUGACCUCUGACAUACUAAAUUGCUUCAUGGAUGUGGGUCUAAUUCUGAUCUUCCUAUUCUUUUCUACUAGUCUACUUUAUUCACAUACCAGUAACUCACUGUUUUAAUCAUAGAGGUUUUAAUAUUUCAAUGUCUGGUAAUACUGUCUCCCCUCACAGUUUUCCCUUUUCAGUGUUUUCCUAGCUACAUUUGCAUAUUUGUUUUUCCAUAUGAAUUUUAUUAUCAAUUUUUAUAUGCCAUAAUAGUACUUGUUGGUAUUGGAACCUCAUUCAAUUUAUACAUUAACUUAGGGAGAAAUGACAUAACGAUGUUGAAUUAUCCUACCCAAGAAAAGGAAGAUCUUUCCAUUUACCCAUGUAUUCAUUUCUUUUUGGAGUGUCUAAAAUUCAUCCUCAUAUAGGUCUGGUACAUUACUUGUUAAAUUUAUUCUGAAAUAUCUUCUUGAUUACUAUCGUAAAUGAGUUUUUCCCUAUCAUUCUGCCAAUAGUGUUUUAAACACACUGAUCUUUUCAACAUUAAUUUGUGUCCUGCUGUAUCAUUGAAUUCUUUUACUGUUUGAAUUAAUUGUUUUUUCAUUCCCUAGAGACUUCUAGUUAGGUUAUCAAAGCAUUUAUAAAUAGAGAUAUUGUGCAUUCUUCUUCACCCAUUCAGAUGCCUCAUCUUGUCUAACUGCUAUGAAUAAUAACUUUAGUAUAAAAUGCACAGUUGCACAGAUAGUGGACAUCUUUAUCUAGUUCCUAAUGUUAGCAAAAAUUCCUCUAGUAUUUAUUUAUUUAUCUGUUUGUUUGUUUACUGGAACUGAAGAUUGAAUGUGGGAGCACCUUACCACUGAGCAAUAUAUCCCCAAUUAUUUAAAUAAGUUGCCAGUGCAACUUAUUUAAAUAAAUUGCUAAGGAGCUCACUAAAUUGUUGAGGCUGGCCUCGAGCUUGCACUUGCACUCCUACUGCCUCAGCCUCCCAAAUCUGGGGAUUACAGGCAUGUGCCACUACAUGCAGCCCUCCAGCAUUUUUUCUUUAAAUAAGACAUUGGAAUUUGAAACAGUAUAUCUAAUUUAUUAAUGUGAUAUUGUAUUAAAAUGUUACAUUGAUACUUAUUGAUACUGAAGGAGAAAGUAUCCUUUAAUACCUGUUUCCUGGAGUGUUUUCUUCAAAGGGUAUUGAAUUUUGUUAAAGCCUUCUUCAAGGCCGCGCGGUGGCCCCCACUUGUAAUCCUAGCAUCUUGGGAGGCGGAGGCAGGAGGAUCUCAAGUUUAAAGCCAGACCUUUUAAAAAUAUUUUUUUAGUUGUAGAUGGAUACAAUAAUGAAUACAAUACUUUUAUUUUAUUUGUCUAUUUUUAUGUGGUGCCAGGGAUCAAACCCUGUGCCUCACACAUGCUAGGCAAGUGCUUUACCACUGAGCCACAACCCCAGCCUGAAAGAGCACGUUAUUGUUAUUUUUAUUUUUUUGUGGUGCUAGGGAUUGAACUCAGGGCCUUGUGUAUGCAAGGCAAGCACUCUACCAACUGAGCUAAAGUCCCAGCCCUCUCUUUUCUUAAUCACAUAAGGUAGUUAGUUUAUCUGUUAUUUUUAAAGUAGAAUUCUAAUUUAUUAAUUACAUUUAUUGUUUAUCAAUUCUCAUUCUCAUAAAUUCCUGCUUUUAUCCUCACCAUUUUAUUUCUUAUGGUUUCUUUGGAUGACUUGGUUGUUCUUUGGCAAGUUUUCUGAGCUUAGGAUUUAACUAUUUUUAUUCUUUCAUUUUUACUUAAAAGUGUUUACCUAACAAAUUUUUCUCUUAUAUCUGCUUUAAAUGUAUUUCAUAGAUUCUAAUAUAUCAUGUUUUCAUUGUUAUUUUUUAAAUGUUGUAUCAGUUUGUAUUACCCUUUCAUCCAGAAUUUGUUUAAAAAGUUUUAAAACUUGCAAAUAAACAAUCUUGUUUUAUUAAUAAGUUCUAGUUUUAUAGCACUUGGAUAGGCAUUUUUGUUAUACUCCUUUUAACACUUUUGUUAUACUUUAUGGAAGUCACUAGUAUUUUCUUUGUGAGCUAAAGUAUAGAAUCAAUUUUUCUGAAUGUAUUGGGGGUACAAAAGAAUAUGUAUUACUAGUGUAGAGUUUGAUUAAUAUCUAAAUGAUCAAAUCUUUGCACUAUGUUGUUUAGAUUUUUUAUCUCCUUAAUUAUAGUUUAUACAUUAGAUCUGUCCUAUACUACCAAGGAAAUACAAACUAAUCCUAUGAUGAGAUAUUACUGCACAUCUACCAGAAUAGCUAAAAUAAAAAAUAGGAUAACACCAAAUACUGACUAGGAUGUAGAGAAACUGGAAGAUAUAUUACUGGUUAAAGUUUUAUUUUUAUUUUUAAAUUUUUAUUUGCUUAUGUAAUUCAUUUUUGAGAUGGGAUUUUACUACAUUGCGGAGGCUAGCUUCCAACUAGCAAUAUUCCUGCCUUGAUUUCUUGAAGCUGGGCCUAUAGGUACAUGCCAUCACACCUGGCUUACUUAUUCAUUUACUUAUUUAUUUUUGCAAUACUUAAGUUGAACCCAGGGCCUUGCACAUGUUAGACAAGUGCUCUACCACUGAGCUACAUCCUCUGGCCAUGUUAAGAAUUUUAAAUGGAACAGUCACAGUGGAAGAGUUUGGUAGUUUCUUAUAAAACUAAAUAUAUACUUGCAAUACAACCCAGCAACUACACCUUUUGACAUUUAUGCCAGAGAUGUAAAAUUUUAUAUUCACAGGAAAAACCUGUACUCAGAUUUCAUAUUUGCUUAUUCUUAAUAUCCCACAUUGGGAAACAACUCAAAUGUUCUUCAACAGAUUAAGCAAAUGCUGGUAGAUCCAUAUAAUGGAAUACUAUUCAACACUAAAAAAGAAGUAACUAGGGGCUGGGUUUUAGCUCAGUGCUGAAGCACUUACCUAGCAUGUAUGAGGCACAUGAAAAAUAAAUAAAUAAAGGUAUUGUGCCCAUCUACAACUGAAAAUGUUUUUGUUUUUUUUUUUAAAGAAGUAACUAGAGAUAUAUGCAACAAUAUGGUACAGAUCUCAGGGCAUUAUAUUUAGUGAGAAAUGCCAGUCUCAAAAGAUUACAUGCAACAUGAUUCCAUGUAUACAACAUUCUAAAAUGACAAAACCACUGAGAUGGAAGACAAAUUGGUGAGAAUAGAGUUAAAAGGGGGAGGGUUAUUUUUCCAUAGGAAUAGAAUGUAGAAAUCGACAGUGAGGAAUUGGAAUAGUGGUCCACUUUAUGCUUUCAAUAUGGCCCUUGUUCUGCCAGUGCAACUUAUUUUUAGCAUGAACAUGUUUCUUUCUCUUCUUCUCUCCCUGCUCCUCCCUAAUCUCUUUCCCUCCUUAAUCUCAACAGAAACAGGAUUACAGUUCUUCCCCAUUUUAGGCAGAUUUAUCUAUCCUUGAGUACACACCUACCAUAGGAAGGAAAUAAUCCAGACUUUGGGGAUGGUACCAGAAGAUCUCAGAAAUGCCUGUCUCCCAAAUUACUAAAUGAAUUACAAUUCCAACAGAGAACAUGUGGAAUGUAGCCUUUGAUUCACCUCUUUAAAAGCCUUGUUCCUGCUAAUGGGCAAAAAUCACAGCCUCUGGAACAGGAGACCUGGUGUUUCUCCCUUACUAGCAAAGCAAUAAACCUUUUCUCCUUUUACUAAAAAAAAAAAAACAAAAAGGAGGGGGGCGGUUGCAACUAUAAGAUGACAUGAGGGAGUUCCUUUGUGGUGAUAAAUCCAUUUGGUAACUUGGAUUAUGGUGGUUUUAACACGAAUUUAUACAUAGACUCAAACUGCAAAGAACUACACACACACACACACACACACACACACAAGUGUAUGCCAAAACUAAUAAGGUCUCUAGUCCAGUUCAACAGUACUACACUGUUGAUUUCCUGGUGUUCAUAUUAUACUAAAGUUAUAUGUCACCAUUGGGAGAAGUUGGGUGAAGCAUUCAUGGGAUUUUUAUUAUUUCUGUAGUCCCCUAUGAGUCUAUAAUUUCACAAAUAAUAUUUUAAGAUUAAAAGUUUUUAAAUGAAAUAAAUGAAUAUCUAUAUGCCAAUAAUUUAAAUUUGUAUCCUAAUUUUAAACCUCUGAGUCUUGGACUUUGUAUCCAGUUCCUAUGUGAUACUUCUACUUGGAUGCUCCAAAGAUAUCUCCAUUUUAAAUGCCUGAAUUAGAACCUUCCAUUGUACUCAUAUACCUGUAUUUCAUUCUUUGCCAAUACAAGCCACCAAGUGACUUAAACCAAAAGUCUCUUAUUAGUAGAUUGCUUCUCUUCCCUCAUCCCCAAAUCCACACCAUCUGGUUAACUCUCUACAAAUUUAUCUCCAAUCUAUCCAUUUCUCUUUAUCUCCACUAUAAGUAUUGUGUAAUUCCCUAACCCUCUGAAAUUCCACUCCAUGAGCAACACUUCCCAACUACAACCAUGAUAUUCUUCUAUAUCUUAGUCCUUUAUCAGUUUUCUCCACUAUUAUUUGCAAAUACUAUAUAUAUAUAUAUAUAUAUAAAAUUCUCUUUUGUUUAUUUCAGUAUAUCUUCCACAGAAGAAUGUAAGCUACCUGAGGGCAGGCAUCGCUGUAUCCUUAAUGUACUGUUAAGCAUAGUGCUUGAAACAAUAUCAAUACAUAAUACAUACAUAUUGGAUAAAGAACUGAUUUAGUUAUUUUAUGAAAAUGUGUCAUUAUUAAUUUUUUGCUGAAGAACUCUCAAGAAUACAGUGAACUCUUACCUUUUCUCAACACAGUGGUAUCAGUAUUCUAAUUGCUGAAUUAAUUGCUGGAAUUCUAUGCUCUACCCUCCAUAACUUCCUAUUAUUCUAGUUAAACUCUGGUAUAAUCAGAUUUUCCUAGCUAUUUUUCUAUUACACUAUUACAGUAUUCUAUCUACUAUAUUUUGCUAACUUACUAUUUCUCCCAUUGAUCUUACUAUACUGUUAUUAUAUGCAGUUUUGAUACCUUAUAUUUUUUCUUUCAAUCUUCACAACAACCCUAUUAGGUAUGUGUAUAUUGUUUCUACUUCACAACUAAGGAGACAGGGAUAGCAGGAUUAAAUAUCUUGGAUAAAGAAAAGACUUUGGAAGUACUAGGGUCAGGAUUCAAAUCCUGGCCUCUUAAAUUCCAAAUAUUGUUUCCCUACUUUCUUUUCUUAUUUCCUGGAGAAAAAGAUAGCUGCAAUUUUCUUCAUUCAACAGCUUAUUUUAAAGAGGAGAAAACAAUUAUCAGAGAAGGAAAAUAGUUUUUCCUAGCAAUGGUAGAUUGAAAAUAAGGAUUCUAGCCACAGCUGACUGACUCAAGCAUUCUUAAUCAAACACUCAGAAAUUGCAUAGAAGAACUUCAGAAGUCUAUGGAGUGGCUUAGGAUUUGUAAACAAUUUUUUUUGUCUACCUAUGUAAGUCCAUUUUUCUACAGAAAGGGCCCACAGCUUCUCAAAGAGGUCUAUAACUUCCUAGAUGAUGAAAAACUACCACCAUAGUAAGAAUAAGAAGGUAAGGGCUGUGGUUGUGGCUCAGUGGUAGAGAACUUGCCUAAUAUGUGUGAGGCACUGGGUUCGAUCCUCAGCACUGCAUAAAAAUAAAUCAAUAAAAUAAAGGUAUUGUGUCUAUCUACAACUAAAAAUAUAUUUAAAAAAAGAAAAGAAGGUAAAACAUGAGCCACAAUGCUUUUUAAAAUAAUUUUGAUUUAAAAUUUCAAGUUUAUUUUUUAAAUUCCAUUUUUAUUCUAACAAAAAUAACUGUUUAGAAAACAACCAUUUUAACUCUAAUCUUUCCUAGUAUGUUUAUACAGAAAUGCUCCUCAACUUAGAAUAGCUAUACCCUAAUAAUGCCACAAGUUGAAAAUAUAUUAACAGUUAUCCUAGCUGAUCAAUACAACACACACUACAGUCUCAGUUGUUUCCCCUCCUGAUCAGAUAGGGUAGAAUGGGAGCUGCAGCUCGUUGGCACUGCCAGGCUUCUCAAGAGAGUAUCAUAGUGCACAUCACUAGCCAGGGAAAAGAUCAAAAUUCAAAAUCCAAAGUAUAUGUGUAUUACUUUUGUACCAUCAUAAAGUUUUUAAAAAAUUGUAAGGUGAAGCAUCAUAAGUUGGGGACUGUUUGCACUUGAAAUACUAAGAAAUUACUAUGUUUAAAAUGUCUUACAUUCUUUUGGCUGUACAGAUGAAUAAUUCCCAAGAUUUAAUAACUGACUUGUGAAUGUUGAUUGGAGUAUUAUCUCACCAAUCCAUUGAUCCUCAUGAAUAACAACAUCUGAAAAGGGAAAAAAAAUCUGUGCCAUAAAUUCCUUCACAUUCUGGUAAAUUUACUAAUCAUAGCAAAAUAUCAUGCAAAACUCCUACACGCCAGGCAACUAAAGUUCAGAUACAUUAAAUGACUUGCCUAAUGGCAGAAAAUGAUAAAAUGACAAAUCCAAAAUCUUGCAGGUAUGCCUUUACAUAAGUAAAAGAACCACUUGCCUCUGUAUAUUCAAAUUAUGUCAAUAUAGAAACUCACUGCUCUGUAGAGAAAUAUUUAAUGGUUUUCAUUUAAAUAAGGCAAAUGUUGUAAUGUAUAUUUCUGAUAAAUUGAAAAAUAAAUAUUUUAGGAUCUGGAAGCAAAGCAGUUGUUCCAAAGCAGUAGUGUCUAGAAGUAUAAUAAUGUUCAGUGUACAUGGUCCCUUCUGCUUUGAAUAUAUUUGAAUAUAAGGCAGAUUUUAAAGAACUUAGUUAUUUUUCCCUGAAUAGCUUGGUAAUUAUCUUCUAUAAUAUAAAAAGUGAAAUAUUUCAGAGGUAGAGAACAUUUUUCAUUGAGAAAAAAGGGGCUAUCUGAUCUAGGAUAGAGAGAGAAGAAUCAAUUAGUGGAAAUAAACAUAUCAACAGACAGAAAUAGUUCUAGACAAAGCAAAAACUAUAAUAAUAAGUUCUGAACAGAGAAAGAAAGAAAGGAAGGAAGGAAGGAAGGAAGGAAGGAAGAGAGAGAGAGAGAGAGAGAGAGAGAUAACUACCAGGUAGGAUAUAAUCCAUCGACAAAGUGUUAGAAGCAUAAAAUAUCAACAACAGCAAAAGAAUUUGGUAAAUAAGAAAAAACAAGGAGGCAUAAAUUCAAAGUGAUUACUUCCAAAUUUAUAUUCUAAACCCUGUCCUUAGUUUCAGGUUCUUUAAUCUACAACUGCCUAAUGGAUAUUCCCAGAUAGAUUUAGCAACUGGAUUUUGCUUGCUUCCCACACUCAGCAUUGUCCAAAUCUGCUUUCCUUCCAUAUUACCCAUUUCAGGUAAACCAAAACCUGAGGUUAUCCUGCAUCUUCCUUCACACCUUUGUCCCCAAACCCCCACCAGCUGACUCUGCCUAGUGGACCUGCUACUGCCUUUACCCUCCUGCUGCUUUACAUCAUACGUUCCUCUCUUAAUAGUUCCCAGUACUCCUUUCAAUCCAUGCCCCACAAUGCUGACAGGUGAUUUAUUACGAACAUUAAUGGGAUCAAGUGACUUGCUUAAGGAACACUCAGAGAAUCCCCAAUACUUAACCAGGAAGAGUUAGUAAAGCUUUCAAGACUUUUCAUUGCAUUGCAAAUGUAGCUCAGUAGUAGAGUAUUUGUCUAGCAUAUAUGAGGCCCUGAGUUCAAUCCCCACCACUGCAAAACAACAAGAACAACAAAAAAGACUUUUCAUGUUUUGACACUCAGAUUGCUGGCUCUUCAGAAAAAAAGUAGCAAAUGAGAAAUUCCAUAAGAAAUUUCUCCAGGAAUUUUCCUCCUGGAAAACUUCUGAAAACUAAGGUUGCAAAACCUAUGUUAGAUUAGUGGUGAUAGUGGGACAUGGGGAGUGGUAGCCCAGCCUUUGCCUCCUGGUUUCCAUUUUGCCCAUUCACUGCUAUGUCCUAGUUCCUAACUCCUCUUCUUCAGUCUGUUCCUUAAAAUCUGUGAUUUCCCAGAUUAAGCCUACCUCCUUUUCUUUAACUCUAGUCAAUAGUCUCCCACAGACAAGCCAUAUUUAUAGCAUCUCUUAGUUCUACUGUAAUCAAAAACAUCUACUGUGUACUAAAAGGAACAUGUUCUGGGACAUAUCUGUUAUGUAAAAUGUUUCAGUUUGGGGAUGUAUAUCAAUAGAUAGUAUGAGCUAUCCAAGACAAAGAUAUAAUAAUAUACAAUUGGAUGCUAUUGACUAAAACGGGUGCAUUCAUAAAUGUCCAUGCAAAUAUAAUCCACUAUUUAAUUAGGGCUAUGGAAAAAGACUGAUUCUUUUCUAAGUUUCCAUCUUUUCCACACAAAAUAAAACUUAUUCAGAAAACAGUAAACUAGAUAUAUUUUUCCUAAGAAUGUAGAAUAAAAAACUGAUAUUUUUAAAAGGUCUUCAGAUAUAACCUAAAUGUCCUAUAAUAGAAAAAUAGUUAAGUAAAAUCUAAUAAAGUCACUUGAUAGAAUGUAACCUAGUUGUUAACAAUUGUAUAAAACAUUAGGGGGAGAAAUACAGAAAUAGUAAGGUCAAGUUUCCAUCUACUAGGAAAAGGUCUCCGGGAAAUUUCACAAAGUGAAUGACUAUGGCAAAUGACUAUGUAAAAUGACUAUCGUCCAGACUCUAGCCCUCUCUCCAGAGACUCAGAAUGCUAACUCAUCUAAAUUCCAAAAGUGGAUAUCAGCUCUGUAACAUAAGCACAUAUUAAACAGGUUAAUGAGACAAGAAAAUCAGAAUUCAACUUUUUUCAUUUACAAUGAAGUAUUAAUAACUAAAGAAAAUACUACAAUCCCCUCACCUUGUAAACAGUUCUACAGCUGGGAAGCCAGAUUACAAGAGGUAUUCAGCACUGAGUUAGAUAGAAUAGGAGUUAAACAGACUCUCCAACAAUAACAACAUAUAAAUAGUGGUAUGGGACUAUGCUAAGCUUGUUUAUUACAAACUUCCUUUUGCCUCUUUAUUAGAUUAUCCCUCAUAAUUCUAGAAGAACAUCAGAUACAUUAACUAAGGUUCUCAUUUCCUCUAUAAACCAUUUCUAAGACUACUGCUAUUAAGUACACAAAAUUAUAAGAAAAUGAAAAGGAGCCCAAUGAUAUGACCUAAACAUUUACAUGGUGAAUAAAUAAGAGGCAGCAAACAGGGAAAGCUUCUUAAAGAAGAUGUAUAGAAUGGCAGUGCAGAACUAAGCUUAGAACAGAGGCCCAGAAAUGGCAAUGAUACCGGGCAACAUAAGCAGACUAAAGCAAUGCUACGAGACAGCAAUCAUGCUGGGCCCCCAGGAGGCAAACGGUAAAGUAAGAAUCCUCAAAUACCUAAAGUAGGAUAAAACAAACACACACAAAACCAUGGCUUUAUAAAAUAAGUCACCACUAAACUUUGAUAACCUCACCUGUGAGUAAAAUUAUAUCUCCGAGAAAUACUGUAAGUGCCCAAAAUGCAGCAGUUCUCCACAGAAAAACUUUCUUCUUAAUUUCUGAUUGAUCAAUUACUAUAAUUGUUGCUAAAGGCACUUUAGAUCCAGAAUUGGGUCCAGAUUUUAUGUUUAUUUCUUUCAUCUGACUUGGAGUUAACACCAUAGCUAAACAAUUAUACUUCUGACUUUUAGAAUCACAAUUUUUUAUUAAUGAUAUUUUUUUAAUACCCUUAAAUUCAGACACAUUCCUCUGGCUCAUUGCUAUGAUAGAAUCUCUUGCAUUAGAACCCAACUUCAUUUUCUUAGAUACUUGGAGGACUUUAGACAGAGCUUUCGAAUGGCCUGAUUUAUCUUCAGAGCUCCAAUUUCUUUUAACAGCACUUUUGUGAAAGGUAUUUAGUUGGGAACACUGUGUUCCUGAGCGACACAACUCAAUACAGAUCUCAUUUGGUGACAGUUUAUCUUCAGAACUGAAAAGUUCUUGAGAUCCUAUAUUUUCUUCAACAUCUUUUUCAGGGUUUAUGUGAAUGUGGCUACUUUUUUUUUCAGGACAAAUAGGACUAAAAAGUUCUAAGGAAUAUGUUUCUUCAUUUUGUCCUCUUUCAUGUCCUUCUGCAAAAUCAUCAUUAGGCUGAAUAAAACUAUCUUCAGUUAUUCUUAUUUCCCCAUGACUUGCCUUUGGUUCAGUUUCCAUGCUUAUGGUCCCUUUAUUUAUAGAAUUCAGAGCUCUAUCCUCCCUUUGAGCUAAAAAAGCAACCUGGCUGGAGAUCAUUAUACUCAGAAAUUCAGUGUCAGUAGAUAUUUUAAGUUUUGAGACAUUCCUAACUGCUCUAUCAGACCUUGGCUCAUCCACUGCAUUAGAGGAAAAGAAGUCCAGACACUGGUUUUGCAUUUCAUGGUGUUCUGUUGGCUUAUACUUUGUUUCUACAGCUUCAAGAUCUGUAUUAAUUUGUUUAGUACUACCAACCAAAUCCAAUAUAACUGCACAUUUAUGAUCUAACCGAAAGGAAUUUGUUUGAAAGUUUUGACAUAAGUUUGAUUGAUUUUUAGGCUCUUCAUCUGUAAUUUUAUUAUUUUCACAUUGAACCUUUUGAUUCUUUUUUUCUUCAGGUAAAUGCUGAACUGUGCCCUUAAAUCCGUGUAUUUGCACAUUAGAAUUAGUUACAUCACUCAGCCCUGAAGGGUAAAUCUUCUGGGAUUUUAUAUUCUGUGUUUCUGAAGUAAAGUAUGUAAAAUCAUCUUUAACUUGAACAGAUCUACUCACAGAAUUCACUAAACAACAACCACUUAAAAGAUCUGGAGGGCCAGUAAUAGCUUCUGAGACUUGAUAGUCUUUUAGAUUGUUUGGCUCAUGGUUUUUGUCCUUCAGAUGCAAAGAAUGCUGAUUGUACCAAAGUUGAAUUGUUUUCCAGGGGUCUGCAGUGGACAUUAAAGUUGUUUUCUGUGAUACUGUCAUUUCCAGUGGACUAGCUGGAGCACCCCAAAAAAUGUGGACUUGAGAUCCUCCACUCAUAAUUUCUGAUAAAAAUGAAAAAACCCAAAUUAAUUUUUGAUAGACUUUAUAUAUAAUAUUAACUUAAUAAUGUAUCAAAAUAAAAUAUAAUAUAAACUGAAAAAUUAAUAAUAAUGAUUUAUUUUCAUAUGCCAUUUAAUUAUAAAACUGAGACAUACACAAGAAAUCAUAAGAAAAAUCAACUUAGUCACAAAAAAAUCUUUACCUAAAGAUUCUUUCAGAUAAAUAAAAUUAAGAAUAAAACUAGCAUCAUACAGGUAAAUAUGUUCAUUUCUCAUCUUGUAAAAACUUGCCCCAUUUAAAUAACAAGUUAGUAAAAGGGAGGGGUAGCAUUUGUUUAACUUAUUACAAUCACUUUUACAUUACCUGUUUUCUUUAUUCCAUAGAUUAUCUCAGUAAGUUUUGAGCCUCCUUCUUUGAACUGUGAACUCAAUUCCCAAAACCAAAAUAGAAGGCACAAACUGGCAGGCAGAGAAUAUAAAAAAGUAAGAUUUUCUUCAAAAUGUAAAAGUAACUAUAUUUUCUAUUUUCACUUCAAUCUGUUAGUACAAUCAAUAAGAAAUUGUUUCUAUAUUUUUACCUUUUCCAUAAUCAAAUUAAUAAUAAUUAUCUUGUAACAUAUAGAUAAAAGAAAAACUCAGUAUCAUUUAAACUUUUUUCAUUAACUGUGAUAACUUGAAAUAAAUAAAUCUAAGUAAACAUCAUUCUUACUGAGAUAAACAUAAAAGAAUCAUAUCAAUGUUUGUUUAUUCAUAACUGACUUUAAAUAAUCACUUGUUAAAUAGAUCUAUUCCUAGAAUUCAUUGAAAACAUUUUUACAGUGUUAUAUACGGGCAAAAGACAGAAAAGGUUCUCAACAUGAGGGAACUGUUGACCUGGUUUAAAAACAACUGGAGGGGCAACAGUGAACAUAAGUUUGUAGUUUCAAAAUAAUGUAAGCAAUACUAUAACCUAUAACCGGGAAAUAAUGAUCUACUAGGGAAGAGUGCUCUUAUAGAAGGUAGCUACAAGCAUUUCAAACAAGAAAUAGGAUCUAUAAAAGGGCAAAAUUACGAAAGUCUUAUGAAGGACUGAGGACUCUGGUUAGGGUAUAGGGUCCACUGUAAAAACAUAGGAAACAUCAAAUCAUGAAAAGCCCAUGUGGAAGUACAUGCAAAAUGAGGUCUAAGCCAAGCAAUGGCAGCUAUAAUCCCCUGUCACACUUAAUAUUUCUUGAAGAUUUACUCAUUGGCACCUCUUCCUAAUCUGAUCAUAGCUCAUAAUUUCAAUAUCAGUGUGUUUGAUCCUUCCUAUAUCCUGGCUCAUCUCAUGGUUCCUUGACUUCCUCUUCUCUGUUGACUUUCAUUCCACCCUUAUUCAGUCAUCUACUUGUAUAAUCAUACAAAAUACCAUUAUCAAUAACUGCAUACCCUUUCCUAAUUUCAAUAUUGUUUUCAACUUUCUACUCUAUCUUCCAAUUUUUUCCCCUCUAGAUGUACAACUUCAACAGUUCUUUGACCAAAUGGGAUAUACAAUGAAAGCACUUAUCUUACCAGACAGUUUACGGCCUCUUUCUUCAUUUCCCUCCUUAAUCAUCUUAAAUUCUAGAGUUUACCAUAAUCAAUUCCUAUCAUGCUUUUCUAACUCUACUACUUUGAUCUCCAAGGUACUUAUGCAGCUACAUCAUCACCUACGCUGGCCAGAAGUUAACUAGAGAAAAAAAUACACAAUCAUCUGAAAACUGAUCUCAUUUUAAAUUUAUUACCACUAAUCUAAAGGCAGUAUCUAGCAAUACUGUCUUUCCCUAUCCAUUCACUCUUAAAGAUAAUUCUUUUAUACAUUUUUAUAUAAUCUCCAGCAUCUCAUUCCCAACCUCCACUCACAGCUACAUAUUUCAAUUCACAAAUUCCCAACAUACAUCCACCAACCCAGCUCACACCAACAUGGUCCCACUUUCCUACUCAGGCUCUAAUAAUUUUCCCUGGCUCUCCUCCGUCAGGGAUUUUUCUCUGUACUGGAGCAUUUCUAUUAACACAUGAACAUGCUGUUACUUUUCCCCAUGCUGUUAUUCAUCACUUAUUACACCAUGUUUUCUAUUUCUAUCUAUAGCCAAAUUCUUUGAAAGAAUUAUCUAUACUCCCUUUGCUCCUGUUUAUUCCUAAACCCACUGCACCAAGCUUUUGUCCAAAUCUGUAAAGAAACAACAGCUUAUCUUAAGGUCUCCAAUGACCUCCACACUGCCCUCUAUCAACUCUAGUUUUAGCUUAAUUGGCCUAUCAGCAACAUUGACUCAAUUGGGGGGGGAGGGCGGAACCUGGGAUUGAACUCAGGGGCACAGCCACUGAGCCAUAUCCCCAGUCCAAUUUUUGCAUUUUAUUUAGAAACAGGAACUUGCUGAAUUUAGCACCUUGCUUUUGUUGAGGCUGGCUUUGAACUCCGGAUCCUCCUGCCUCAGCCUCCUGAGUCGCUGGGAUUACAGGCAUGUACCACUGUGCCCGGCCACUGACUCCUUCUUUUCAUUAGACUUUAAGGAUAUCAUGUCCUCUUGAAUCUUGACCCAUCUCAAACUCUUACCAAUUGCUCUUUCUAGCUUUUGCAAGCUGCUCCUUUGCUAGCUGCUUCUCAGCUCUUCAAUUUCUUGUACAAGGUCCCAGUACUUGAAUCUCUGAACUCACUACCUACAUUCAGUCUCAGGGCUUUAAAUGGCUUCUACAGGAUAAUAGUCCACAACCUCUCCUUUGAAUUCCUGACUCCUUAUCCAAUUUUCUACUUAUUCCUUGCCAUAAGAUAUCUAAUAGGUAUCCAUACAUAUAAAAGGUAAAGUAGCAGGCCUGAGACUACAUCCUUUUAAAAAAUCUGCAUAUAAAGUGACCUUGGCUGGCUGGUAUCUGUGAAAGAAUGGGAUUUAUGUAAAACAAUAGAGUCAAUCCUGAACACUUGCUUUCUUUCUGGAAGUUUGACAUUUUGGUACUGCUAGACAGAGGCUGGCUAUCUGACUCAGUCUCCUUAAAGAAAUGGCUGAUUCAAGGUUUGGGGCAGGAAAUUACAGAUGAACCUAAAAUAUAUCAUACCAGAAGCCCUGCCCCCUAAAAACAAUUAUAAAAGAUGAUUAGGAUUAUAUCAAAAGAAAUCAGAAUUAACUUGAAGAAGUUCCCAUUGAGCAUAAACAAGGAAAACAGUGUAAUGGGUUAGAUCAUUUCAAACAUGCUUAAAUCCCCAUGAGUAAAUAAAGAAAACUAAAGCAAAUUCUCUCAAUGGUCAUAGGGACUUCUUUAAAGCUGAUAAAUGAGAUUUAAAAAAGAAUUUCAUCCUAUCUUAAUAAUAUCCUAAGAUAACCAACUAUGUGAUGAAAAGAAAUCUUUUUUUUUUUUUUAAUUUAGUGAUACUUAGAAUCAAAUCCAUAACCUCAUGCUUGCUAGGCAAACUCUCUACCACCGAGCUAAAUCCCCAGUCCUUUUUAAAUUUUAAGACAGGGUCUCUCACCAAAUUGCCCAGGACAGUCUUGAACUUGUAAUCCCCCUGCCUCAACCUCCCAAGUAGCUGUAAUAGGAUUGAGCCUCCAUGCCCAGCUAGAAAUCUAUCUUUAUAGAGAUCCUGCUAGUAACCAAAGAAAGAAUGAUAUACUAUCAUCAUUUUGCUAGCUGCGUCUCAGCUCCUCAAUUUCUUGUACAUUUGUGAAUUAGUGGAUCUUUUAGGCAAUGAUCCUUAAUGGUUACUAACCUCACAAAGAUAGAGACUGUAAGAAAGAGUGAAGGAAACCUAUAGAUUGAGACCAAUUACAAUGCAUGGGUCUUAUUUAGAUCCUGACUUGGACAAACAAAUGUGAAAGUAUUAUAAGAAAAUUGGAAAAACUGAAACACUGACUAACAUUUGAUAAAUGAAAGAAUUACUGUCAGUUUAUAGUGAGAUAAGGCUAUUGUGGCUACAUUUAAAAAGCAGUAUGUGCUGAAGAUGAGUCUUUUCAGAUAGAAUAGUAUUCUAUCUCAGAUUUCUUCAUAAUAACAUGAGAGAGGAGGGGCAAAGGGUGUAGACAAAACAAGACUAGCCAUGUGUCAAUAACUGGUGAGAUGAGGGUGAUGAAACACAAAACAAUUCACUGCACUAAUCUAUUUUUGUACAUGUUAAAAUAUCCUACAAUACAAAUCUGUUUGUUUUUAAGAAACCACUGUUUCACAUCCACAGGAUUGAGAAAAAAUUUGAAUAGUCUGACAAUACCCAAGAUUGGAAAACUCUUUUUUUUUUUUUAAAGAGAGAGAGAGAGAGAGAGAGAGAGAGAGAGAAUUUUAAUAUUUAUUUUUUAGGUUUCUUUUUGGCGGACACAACAUUUGUUUGUAUGUGGUGCUGAGGAUCGAACCCGGGCCGCACGCAUGCCAGGCGAGCGCGCUACCGCUUGAGCCAUAUCCCCAGCCUGGAAAACUCUUAUGUUGGAAGAGUUAAUUGGCAAACGGCUUUGAAGUAUAAUUUGGCAAAAUACAGUAAAACUGAGGGCACACAUACCAUUUAAGAGAACAACUGUACUUCCAAGUUUCUACCCUGGCAAAUUCUUACCCAUGUAUACAUAAAAAAACAUGUACAAGAGUGAUCAUGGGAGACUACAAACAAUAAAUUAAAAACAACUUAAACUCCAUGAAGAAGAGACUGGAUAAAACAUGGAAUAUUCAGAGAUACUACAACAUGGCAACAAAAAUAAAUGAAUAAGAGCUACAUGUCAACACAGAUCCAUUUUACAAAUAUAAUCGUAAAUGAAAAUGAAAUUUUAAGCCAGGUGCAGUGGGUGCAUGCCUGUAAUCCCAACAAUUCAGGAGGCAGAGACAGGAGGAUCACAAGUUCAAAGCUAGCCUCAGCAACUGAGCAAAGCUCUAAGCACAUUAGUGAGACCCUGUCUCAAAAUAAAAAAUAAAAAAUGGCUGGGGAUGUGGCUCAGUAGUUAACACCCAUGAGUUCAAUCCAUAGUACCAAAAAAGUAAAUAAAUAAAAUGUAAUUCUAAGAAUACAAUAUAUAGCUAGGUGCAGUACCAUAUCAGCUAUUUGGGACACUAAAGCAGAAGGAUUGCAAGUUUGAGGCCAGCCUCAGUAAUUCAGCCAAACCCUGUCUCAAAAUAAAAAAUAAAAGGGGCUGGAAAUGUAGCUCAGUGGUAAAGCAUCCCUGGGUUAAAUCUCCAGUAGUAAAAAAUAAUAAAAAUAAAAAUAAAUAAAAAGGUCUGGGUAUGUAGCUCGGCACUAGAGGGUCCUUGGGUUCAAUCCCCAAGUACACAUACACACACACACACACAUAUAUAUGUUCAUAUUUCUUUUUAUUCACAUAUAUAUAUUGACUUUUAAAACAACCAAUGUAGGAUUGUGAUUACCUUUGGGAUAGAAUAAAAGGGAUGUGAUCUAGGGUACACAGAAGGUUUCAACUAUACUGAUCACAUUUUAUUUUUUAACUAUAUAUGUUUACAUAAGUAUUCAUUAUAUUGUUCAGAAAUAUUUUAUAAUAUUUUUUGAAUCCUACAGAGAAAAACACUAAGAAGCAAGUUUAUGGAUGAUUUUUAAAAGAGUUUUAUAUUUUAAAAGUUUUACUAUCAUGGAUAAUUAAUGUGUAUUAUUUUCAUAAUAUCAAUUUUUUGGUAAUUCAGGCUUUUCUUUCACAUCUUUCAACAGAAUAUAAUGCUCCAACAGUUUCAUAACAAUGGUCCUAUAGCUAGCAUUUCAGUAUGAAUUGAGAACAAUGAUAGCCACUGUUAAGGAACUAGUAGAUAAAAUAAAUAUACUACAAUUUUCAAUUUGUAAUAAUGAAUUAUUAUUGAGACAAAAUUAUAGUAAUUUUAGGUGUGAAGUUUUGACUCACUGAAAAUCAAAGAACUAAGCAUCACUAUAAUUAUCACAUAUCCCACCUUAAUUUAAUCCUCAUAGAAAGAUUAAUCUGCAUAAGGAGUAACAGAUAUAUGAGAUCUAUUUUUUUUGUUUUUAUGAUUAAUGCCAUUAUUAGAUUUGCCACUAGGAGGCUCCAAAUAGCACAGCAAAAUCCUUCAAGUUCAAGAUAUAUACUGAAACCAAGAAGAGAGGAAUAUAUUAUCCUGAUGAACUGGAGGAAGUACUUAGAUAUAUGCAAAACAAAUUCAUAAAGCUGCCAAUGAUAAAGAACUCUACUCUUUUAAAUUUUUAGUUUCCUCUCCAAUGGUUUCUUCCCUUUAGUUUCAAAAUUUUUUUAAUUAAAAAAUUAAAAAAAACCACUUCUAUCUGGUUUCUUUGUUCUCACUUCUCAUUUAUUUUUCAAGCCCUAAUUUGACUUCUAUCCCAACAAUUUUGCUAUAAUACUUAGAAACCAAUGACUUUCUAAAAGUCAAACAUAAAGGUCAGUUUUCAAACCUUUUCUUACUGCCAUUUGAAACUGUUUAUCAGUUCUUCUUUCCUCAAAUAUUCUACAUUUUUAAUCCUAAAAGACCACCAAAUUAGAAAUAUUUUGUGAUUUAUCUGACAAUCAUUCACACAACACUCAACACUAUUUGUCAGGCAUUAUGGCCAAGUAUUAAGAAUGCACAACAAAAAAAAGGAUCUUUAAAAAGAUAAUUAUAAAGCAAUGAUAUGAGCUACUACAGAAUUAAAAGCAAGGGUGUCCUCAGAAGAGAGAAGCCUGGGACAACACAACCAACAUGUAACUGCCCAUUAUCUGUAUUUUUCAUAGGCUUUUUGGACUAUGGUUAAUCACAAAACUGUUACUUAAUUUGUUAAAGUCAUUAUCAACAUUAUUAAAUCUUCAGAAAAAAGUUGUACUCUAAAGCCCAGGAAAGCUAUCUAAAUUGGAUAACCCAAGAGAUAGGCCUAUUGUUGCUAAUCUCCAAGACAUUUAAAGAGUAUAUGAUACUGCUUUUUUUUUUUUUUUUUUUUUUUUGAGAGAGAGAGAGAGAGAAUUUUAAUAUUUAUUUUUUAGUUCUCAGCAGACACAACAUCUUUGUUUGUAUGUGGUGCUGAGGAUCGAACCUGGGCCGCUCGGGCAUGCCAGGUGAGCGCGCUACUGCUUGAGCCACAUUCCCAGCCCGAUGAUACUGCUUUUGUGUCCUCAAUUAACACUAUCUCCUAAAUGCCUGAAAAUCUAACUUUCAUUUCCUAUCUCUAUUAAGACAAUAGUGAAGUCCAAAUUGCCAACUACACCCAGCACUUCACCAUUUCAGCUGUAAAACUCUUUCUUUCCUUAGUUUCUAGAUCACUGCUCUUUCCUAACUGGUUCUUUCACUGCUCUGAUUUUUCUUUCUCUACUUCUUCCUGGUGCAUCUCUUCAUUUCACUCAUUUCUUUUUUUUUUUAAUUAUUUUUUAUUCUAAUUUGUUAUAUAUGACAGCAGAAUGUAUUAUAAUUUAUAUUACACCUAUAGAGUACAAUUUUUCAUAUCUCUGGUUGUGCAUAAAGUAUAUAUUUUUUUAAAUUUUUUAAUAUUUAUUUAUUUAUUUAUUUAGUUUUCGGCGGCACAACAUCUUUGUUUGUAUGUGGUGCUGAGGAUCGAACCCGGGCCACACGCAUGACAGGCGAGCACGCUACGGCUUGAGCCACAUCCCCAGCCCCCAACAUAAAGUAUAUUCACACUAUUUGUGUCUUCAUACAUGUACUUAGGGUAAUGUUAUCUAUCCAUCACCUCACAUAUUUCUGGAAAUUUGUUUUUUGUUGUUUUUGUUUUUGUUUUUGUUUGUUUUUGGUGCUGGGAAUUGAACUCAGGGGUACUCAACCACUGAGCCACAUCCCCAGCUCUAUUUUGUAUUUUAGUUAGAGACAGGGUCUCACUGAGUUACUUGGUGUCUUGCUCUUCCUAAGGCUGGCUUUGAAUUUACAAUCCUCCUGACUUAGCUUCCAGAGCAACUGGGAUUACAGGGUGUGCCACUGAGCCAGGCUUUUCUGGAGAAUUUUAUCCAAUCCUACCACAUAUCCAACUGUGUCUUACAAAUCUACAUUGAACCAUCUUUUUUCUUUCUCUUUCUCUCUCUCUCCUUUUCAGACCUAUAUUUCUAGCAUCACUACAUUUGACAGGAUCACAGAAGAAUCAAGGGCAAGAUUAAAAUCUCUAUUUGCCUUCUAGGUUCAGAAAGAUGGUGAAGCACAGUGGUAAAACCAAAGUGUCUUGAGAGUUCAAAGAAUCACCCAAAGAAAGAGAUGUCUGAGGUAAAUAAAAAUUCUACAAAGCAUGUUAUUUAUAUGUAACAAUUACUUCAGUGUACCUUCACUUAUUUGUCUGAAUAAAUACCCCUAUAAAUGUAGGAUUCCCACCCUUCCAAAAAUUAACUAGAAAGCCUCAUUUAAAAAUGAGUAUUUUUAAACCUAUUUAUACCAAAGGCUGCUACUACUAAGUACCAGAAUGAAUAGGAGUUAUGAAUGUGUAAGUAAGGGGAUGGACAGUGAUGAGGGCAGGGGAAACAACAUAUUUAUCAUAGCAAAAUUAAAUACAAGAGUUAAGUAACAGAUAACCGAUGAGUCUCAAAGAUUCUAGAAUUCAUUUUGGGUGUAUGCAGAGGGUUAAAGCUCAGUAAGAUACCAGAUGAAACUUGCAAGUACAUAUCCAUUACCACAGUUAAUAAUUACACAAUUGCUCAAUCUGCAGGAGGCCACUUCAGUCGGAAAGACCAAUAUGACCAUAAUCUUUUAUCUUUAGAGUGGUCAGAGUCUGAUGAAUGGGUCAAAGAUUUAUAAAACAGGACGGACUGUAUCAGCAGGUUUUGUCUUUGCAGAAUAGGGCAACUAAAAAAUGCUUAUUACUAAAUACAUGGCAUUAAAAGAGAGCACUUUCUCCAUCUUAUAACAAACUCCAAAACUGCACUAUUGUAGUGGGUUAUAUUAUGAACACUUUUUGUGUCUAUUUCACCAAAAUACCAACAACUAUAAAAUUAUUCAAUAGCAUCAACUAACAAAAUGAAGAAGCAGAAGCAUGGGAUCAUAAUUAAGAACAUGGUUUGGAAACAAAACAGAUAUGAGUUCAAAUCCCUGCUCUGCAACUUACCAAAACUGCAAAAUAGAAAGCCCUGAAGUCAGGUGAUCAUUACAUGGAGUUCAUUAUACUGUCCUUUAUAGAUCUAUAUAUAUUUGGCAAAUCCAUAAUAAUAGAUCAAAUUUUUCUGUCAAAGGAGAAUUAAGUUUGUUAAUUGAAAAUAACAUCAAUUACUUCCAUAGAGUGCUAUAAUGAGAUGGUAUACAGUAAUUACUCAAUAAAUAAUUAGUUUUUUAUAGUCUUAUACCUAGGAAACUCUAUACAUACAUACUUGAUGACAAAAUCCCCUGGAUUUCUUUCAUGUGUUUGUCUUUAAUGUGUAUUUUUACACAGUGGUAAUGAUAAAAUUGAAAUAAUUUGUAUUCUGCUUCAACCAAUACAUGCCUACCCUUCUAUGUCAACUUAUAAUCUUAAUAAUUUUUAAUACUUGCUUGGUAUCUUAAAGAUGAGUCUCAUUUAACCAUUAUUUCUAAUUUAUUAACUUGUUUCUUUUAUUAAUUUGCAUUUUAAUUGACAAGGAAAAAUAGAAUAUCUUUAUGGUAAAACACAUCAUGUUUUGAUAUAUGCAUACAUUGUGAAAUUCAUAAAUCAAGCAACUUAGCAUAUGUAUUACCUUACCUAUAUAUCUUCUAUUUAUCUUGUAUUUGUAUGAAACUUAAAAUCUACUCUUAGCAAUUUUCAACUAUAUAUUAACUUCAAUCACUGUAAUGUAUAUUAACUUGUUUUCAAUUUAUCAUUAUGAAAAAUAAUGCUACAAUAAAUUAUUUAGCUCAUUUAGAUCACUUUUCAAUUAUUUUCUUUUGAUAAACUCCUAGGUAUGGGAUUACUAGAUUCAUUUUAUGUACAUUUUAUGACUAUUAAUAUUUAUUAUAUUGCUGUUUGCUAAAGAACUGGAUGGCUUAUAAUGCCACCAACAAUACCUGAGGGUACCAGUCUUACCAUAAUAUUGUUAGUAUCUUAAAAAGUAAUUUUGUGUAGCCAGGCAUGGUGGUACACACCUGUAAUCCCAGCAACUCAGCAAGCUGAGGCAGGAGGAUUGCAAAGUUCAAGGCCAGCCUCAGUAAUUUACUGAGACCUCAGCAACUUUGUAAGACCCUGUCUCAAAAAAUAAAAAGGACUGGGGAUAUAGCUCUGUGGUAAAGUGCCCCUGGAUUCAAUUCCCAGUACCAAAAAAAAAAAAAAAAAAAAAGUAAUUUUGCUAGUAAGGAUAUUAAGGUACUUUACUAUUGUUUUAUUUGCAUUUCUCUAGUUAUUUGCAAAAUUAAAAAAGAGUGAAUUUUCAAUUAUACGUGGAUUAAUACUUUUAAUACAUGAGGAAUAUGCAAGCAUGUGUACACAAAGAUACACAAAGCAACAAAAAUAGGUUAGAGGGACUGGGGAUGUGGCUCAAGCGGUAGGGUGCUUGCCUGGCAAGUGCGGGGCGCUGGGUUCGAUCCUCAGCACCACAUAAAGAUGUUGUGUCCGCCGAAAACUAAAAAAAAAUAAAUAUUUAAAAAAAUUCUCUCUCUCAAAAAAAAAAAAAAAACAGGUUGGGAAGCAUAUAUCAUAGGGGAAAAAUGUACAUGGUUUGAAACACGGAUGACAUCCAUCCUCUUCAUAAAGUGCAAGAAAAUUUUAUAAAUUAAUGAGAAACAUUUUCUACCUAUCAAACUAGCAAAGAUUCAUUAAAAGAGUACAGGGUACAGGGCAAUGGUUUAUACCGGUAGGAGUUUAAACUAGUAAAACAUUUCUGGAGGGCAAUAUGGCAAUGUACGUCAAAGGUCUGAAAAUUCUGUCUCCCUUUGGUCUCACAAUUAUAAUUCUAGGAAUUUAACAAAAAGAAAUAUAUUAUAAACAUUCUCACAAAUUCACCUACAGGAUUUUCGUAGCACUGUUCUUUAUAAUGUUAGGAAUAUAUCCAUCAGUUGAGGUCUGGUUAUACAAAUUAUGGCAGAUCCAAACAAAAGCAAACAAUACAGCCAUUUACAAUAAUUAAGAAUAUAGUCAUAUAAAAAUUUGUUCUCAAUACAGUGAUAGGUAAACAAGGAAACUAUAAAAAAUUAGAUACAGAAAAUUUCGUUUUACAUAUAUAUUUGAAAAAGAUCAAUGUCCAUUUUACUACUAUUUACACUGAGGUUAAAAUACUUAUGUGUUCUCUGUGAUGACUGAUACAAGUGGUGGUAAAAAAGAAAAAAAAGAAACAGUUUUUGCCAUACAUGGUGGCACAUAAAAAUUUUUAAAAAAGCAGAGGAUGUAGCUUAGUGAUAAAGUGCUCCUGGUUUCCAUCCCUAGUACCAAAAACAAAAACAAAAAGAGAAAGAGUUUUGUUUUGUUUUGUUUUGGGGAUACUAGGGAUUAAACUCAGGGGCACUCAACCACUGAGCCACAUCCCCAGCCCUAUUUUGUAUUUUUUUAAAAAUAUUUAUUUUUUUUAGUUGUAGUUGGACACUAUACUUUUAUUUUAUUUGUUCAUUUUUUAAUAUGGUGCUGAGGAUCUAGUCCAGGGCCUCGAAUGUGCUAGGAGAAUGCUCUACUGCUAAGCCACAUAAAAAUAAAGAUACUAUGUGUUCAUCUACAACAUGUAUAUAUAUAUACAUACAUACACAUAUAUACACAUAUAAUAUAAAAAAAAAAGAAAGUGCAUAGGGCUAGGUAUAAAGCUACAGGGUCUCACUGAGUUGCUUAGCACCUCACUUUCACUGAGGCUGGCUUUGAACUCACACGCCUUCUGUCUCAGUCUCCCAAACCACUGGGAUUACAGGUGUGCUCCACUAGCCCAGCUGAGUUUUUGUAUUAUUUAACUUCAUUUAACCAAUCCAAUUUGUUGUCUUAAUUCAUUUGUACUAAUAAAUAACUGUGAGUACUAGUAAUUCAUAUACUACAUACAUUUAUGCUAAACUCUAUUCUUAAGAAUUACUAAUAGUGGGGCUGGGGACAUAGCUCAGUUGGUAGGGUGCUUGCCUCGCAUGCACAAGGCCCUGGGUUCAAUCCUCAGCACCACCAAAAGAAAAAAAAAAAAAAAAGAAUUACUAAUAGUUACUAGACACUAGUAUCAGAUUUUCCACAUUUUAUAUUAAUUGUGAAAGGUUAUAAGCUACCCAUAUAUGUUAUUUGUACCUCAAAAAGAAAAGCAAUUGAAGUUUAAAGCUUUUACUCAUUCCUGUAUCUGAAGUAAAAGCUACUAAAACAAACCUGAGCAGACAAUUAAUUUCCUUUUUUAAAAAUGUUGUAGAUGGACACAGUAACUUUAUUUAUUUAUGUGGUACUGAGGAUCAAAUCCAGUGCCUCACAGGUGUUAGGUGAAUGCUCUACCAAUAAGCCACAACCUCAGUCCCUGGACAAUUAAUUUUUUAAAUUUUCUUUCCUAAGUACUGAUUUCCUUUGUAGUUGUCUUUGGUAUUCAUAUAAAACAUCUAUAAUCAUAUUUUUAUCAUCACCUCUUAUCACCACCUAAGGUUAGUACAGUGCAAGUGAGCCUCUUAUCCCUGCUUGCAAUACAAAUGGGACUUUCUCCCUCUCACUUUCCAUUACAGGGCACUUGCCUUCUUCCAAUAAAGUCCAAGGAUUUAAAAGGCAAGUGAACCUUAAUCUAGCUUUUUGCUCCCCACCUUAUAAAUAGGUUGACACACAGUGGUAGAGGGGCGCUUUACCACUGAGCUUUAUAGCUAGCCCUAUGCACUUUCUUUUUUUUUAUAUUAUUUAUAUAUAUAUAUAUAUGUGAUGAACACAUAGUAUCUUUAUUUUUAUGUGGUGCCAAGGAUCAAACCCAGUGCCUCACGCAUGCAAGGUAAGUGCUUUACCACUGACCUACAGCCCCAGCCCCCAUCCACUUUCUUAAUGACAUAUUUUAAAGAAUGCAAUUUUAAUUUAAAUAAAUUCUAAUUAAUCAAUAUUUUUUCUUAUUCCAAUCUUUUUUAUCUUAGCUUGUUAUCCAAGAAAUAUUCCAGGGUCAUAAGGUUAUUUUCCUUUUGAAAUUCCUAGAAGGUAUGGCAGUUUAAAAAGAUAUUAACAAGUUAGGCACAAUGCCUAAAAACUCAGAGGCUGAAGCAGAGGAUCUCAGGUUUAAGGCCAGCCUGAGCAAUUUAGGGAGACCCUGUAUCAAAAUUUAAAAGAAAAAAAAAAAUAACUGGGGAUGUAGCUCAGUGGUGAAGUGCCCAGGUUCAAUACCCAUUACAAAAAAAAAAAAAAAAAAAAAAAGUCCACAAAUUCUUUGAUACUCCUCCUGUAACAGGGGUUCAUUUAAAACCAUCCCUUGCUCUCUCCUCUCCUCUUUGCCUUCCACCCCUCCCUAAAUCAGCUUGGCUGAACAAAAGCCUUUCCUAAGGCUUUAGUUAACUAGCUACAGGUCAUAUUGAUGUUACUUCAAGAGAAAACACAUCUGGAUGCCAAAGACCUUGACCAAUACAAGGACUCCCUGCCUACUGUUUCACUGUACACCCUUUUCUACUAUAAAAGCUCUUUGCAUACUAAAACCCACAAAGAUGGAGAUCUGAGAAGCAAAAAAGUCUCUUCUUUCUUUCCUAGGACUAGCUAAAUAAACCCAUUUCCUCUAACUAACUUGUCUCCAGAUGAGCAAUGAGUAGCAUGACAUCCAUAAUUUCAGUUAACAUUCAAGAGCUACCAUGUUAGAGUGCUAUUGCCAGGUGCAGUGGUACAUACCUGUAGUCCCAGAUACUCAAGAAUCUAAGGCAAGAGGAUCACUUGAGCUCAGGAGUUACAGGCCAGCUUGGGCAACAAACAGACCCCAUUUCUAAAAGGAAAGAAAACAAAAUUACAUAAGCUUAAUUCCUCUAACCUUGAAUACAGGCUGGAGUAAUGAAUAGAAUACAGUAAAGUGACAGUGUGUGACUUUCAAGACUGUCAUAAAAGACACUCAGCUUCCUCCUUGCUCUCUCUCUUGUAUCACUCACUCUUGAGGGAAGACAGCUACCAGGUCCUAAGGGCACUUGAGUGAGCGGUUCUCCAACUCCAAUCCAGCCUUCAGAUGACUCUACUUGUUACCAUCUUGACUGCAACCUUAUAAGGGAUCUAAGCCAGAAUUACCUAGCUAAGGUCCUCCUGUGUUUUCGACACAGAAAAACUGCAAAGUAAUAAAUAUCUGUUGCUUUAAGCCACUAAAUAUUGGGAAAUUUGUUAUAUAGAAAGAGAUGAUACAGAAAUUUUAUAGUUUUUAUACUCAGAUUUUAGGUAUAUGAUGAAAGGCAAUUCCAUUAGUUUCUGUGUAUGGAGUAAGUAGGAAUACUAGUUCAUUGUUUCCCACAUAGAUAUGAAGGUAGAAUGACAUUUUUUUUUUUUUCCUGCUGGACUGACUUGGCACUUGGGUGGGAAUAAGUGACUGUGUAUUUCUGAGUUCUCCAUUGUGUUCUAUUGAUAUGUACAUCCUUACACCAAGAUCACUCUGCUUUGUUUACUGUAGCUUUAAAGGAAAUCCUGGUAUCAGGAAAUAAAAGGCCUCUGACUUUGUCUUUUUUUUGUACUUGUAGAUGGACGAAUGCCUUUAUUUUUUUACUUGUUUAUUUGUAGGUAGUGCUAAGGAUGGAACCCAGUGCCUCACGCAUGCUAGGUAAGCACUCUGUAUUUUUUCAAAAUUAUUUUGACUAUCCUUAGUCUUUUACAUUUCGGUAAAUUUAUUGAAUCAUCUUGUUUAUUUCUUCAAAGACCACCAAGAUGUUAAUGAAAACUGUAUUUAAAUCUGUAGAUCACUUGGAAAAAAUUCCAUUUUAACAAUGCAGUCUUUCAGUUCAUGACUAUGUCAACAUUUCUUUCCCUCUCCCCCAACCCUCUAUUGUUUAACUUACUUAACAGUGUUUCACACUUCGAGGUUGAGAGCAUAUUCUUAGAUUUAUUCAUAGGUACUUGGUUUUUGUAAUGUCAUUGUAAACAAUUUUUCAGUUUACAAAUUGUUCAUUGCUAUUACAGAGAACUACAAAUGAUUUCUAUGGAUUGACUUUGCUAAAUUCACUUACUAGAAUUGGUUUGUGUAAGUUUCAAAGAGUUUUCUAUGUAUAUAAUCAUGUCAUAUGUAAAUAACAGUUUUACUUCCUCUUAGUUUUUCAUGCCUUACUUUAUUUCUUUCUUUUGACCUCUUAUACUGUCUAGGUCCACUAGUUCAAUGCCAAAUAGAAGUGGUAAAAGAGAAAAUAUAACCAUAUUAUUUUAAUACAUAUAGUGUCCCUACCUAUGGUUGACAAGUAUUUUCUGUAAAGGGUCAGAUAGUAAAUAUUUUAGGCUUUUAAGUCCAUACAGUAUGUUCCAACUGUUCUAUGCUACUGAUAUAGUGGGACAGCAAACAGAGACAAUAUUUAAACAAAUGAGCAUAGUUAUAUUCCAAUAAUACUUUACUUACAGCCACUGAAAUUUGAAUUUCCUAUUAUUUUCACACGUCAUAAAGUUUCCUUUGGUUUUUGUUGAACCAUUUUAAUAUGUAAGGAGUAUUUUUAAGUCACUUGCCACAGUAAGAACAGAUUAUGUGCUGAGUUUGGCCUACAGACCAAAGAUCAUUGAUCCCUUAUUUUUAUAUUGAUUUAUCACCUUUCUUCUUGUCUAAUAUAUACAAUGUUUCCCUCUAAACAAUACUUUUACUACAUUAUUAAUUCUAUCAUUUUGACAUUGUACUAUGUUUUUAGCCACUGCUAUAGAAUUUCAAAUUUAACAAUUAAAUCUUCAAAUAACACUAUACCACUUAACCUAGUAUAAGAAUAUUACAAUUGCAUUCAUCCAUUUUUCCUACUAUUCUUUAUGCUAUUUUAUCAUAAUAUUUUAUAUAAAUAAUAUAAAUUUUUAUAUAAAAUGUAUUAUAUGUGCUAUGUACAUGGUAUACUUAUGAUACAGAUGGUCCUUGACUUACGAUAGGUUAUAUCCUGAUAAACUGAUCUUAAGUUAAAAAUAUCAUGUUAAAAAUGGAUUUAAGCCACAUGUAGUAACACGACACAUGCCUGUAAUCUCAAUGACUUGGGAGGCUAGGGCAGGAGGAUUGCAGAUUUAAAGCCAGCCUUGGCAACUUAAAGAGGCCUAAGCAACUUAUCAAGACCCUAUCUCAAAAGGUUAAAAAAAAAAAAACAUAAAAGGGCUGGGGAUGUGAAUCAGUGGUUCCCUGGAUUCAAUUCCUAGUACCAAAAAACAAAAAAGGACUUAUACUGGAAUAGCUCUUUUUCUCACUACCUUUAGAAUAAACCAACCCUGCCAACACCGUCAUUUCAGAUUUCUAGCCCCUAGAAUUGUGAAACAAUAUAUCUCUGGAAGCCACCCACUCUGUGGUACUUUGUCAUAGCAGCCUGAGCAAACUAUUUUGCAGGGCAUUUAUUUAUGUUCAGGACUUUGGGAGAUAAGGAACUUACAGAUUGGUUGCUUUCAAAUCUCUUGAAAUACAAGUUUAAUUAUAAUUAGUAAAGGAUUAUUACACAAAAAAUAACCCCUGAAUAUUCAGGAAGAAUUACUGUGUGCUUAGAAAAUUAACUGUAAUCUCUUUAAAAAAUAGAAAAUAGCUUACAAUCACAGUCAAAAAGAAAUUGUCCAUUAACUAAUAGAAAAGGUGCAACCUAAAUCACAUUCUUACUUAUAUGGUAACUCCAAAACUACCACAGGUUUGGGAUAUGUGUUUAUUUUAAAAUAAAAGCAAAUCUCAUCAAAUCAGUUUACAGAAAAUAUGGGGAAUAAAAGAACAAUACCACAUAGAAGCAAAAUGAGAAUGUGGGACUUUCUAUAAGACAAAUGGCAGGGUUUCAUCAAUAAAUAAGUGGCAAAGAACCAAAACAGGAUGAUGUUUUAAAGGAGAGCUAAGAGAUCAACCAAAUGUCAUGUUUAGAACACAUCUGAAUCAGUAAAAAAGGUAUUUUUGAGAAACAGGACAAAUCUAACAUAGACUUAGAUAACACUAAGGAAUAUUUUAUUACAUAAAAAAAUGAAUUCAUCAGACAACCUACUGAACAUUCUAGCUUAGCAACACAGUACACUGUAGAAGAUCAGUUGUUUGUCUUCAUGAUCACGUGGCUGAUUAGGAGCUGUUGCUGCCCAGCAUCACCAGAGGAUCCUACUAUAUAUCACUAGCCUAGAAAAGGAUCAUAUUCAAAAUUCAAAGUACGGGUUCUACUAAAUGCUUAUUGCUUUCCCACCAUCAUGAAGUCAAAAAAUCAUAUGUCAGGGACCAUCAGUGUAUGACAAAUACAUGAAAUAUCAUAAACCCCCCCAAAUAUGGUACCAAUUAUUCUUCCUUUAUAUAAACAAUUAUCCUUUAGAGAUUAAGAAUUAGAAAACCACAUUAUUACCAUUUCUGGUUCUAUCUAUACAUUCAAUUUCCUUUCCAGUAUCAUUUUGUUUCUGUCUAAAAAGUUAUAAACUUUGUGUGGGGGAGGGGACUGGAGAUUGAACUCAGGGGCCCUCAACCACUGAGCCACAUCCCCAGCCCUGUUUUGUAUUUUAUUUAGAGACAGGGUCUCACUGAGUUGCUUAUUGACUUGCUUUUGCUGAAGCUGGCUUUGAACUCUCAAUCCUCCUGCCUCUGCCUCUGGAGCCACUAGGAUUACAGGUGUGUGCCAUCUCGAUCUGCUAAGUUUUAACAUUUUUGUAACUCAGAUGUGCUGGCAAUAAAUCCUCACAUCUUUGUUAGUCUCAAAAAAUAUAUUUUUUAAAGAUAUUUUUCACUAAUUAUGGAAAUCUAGAUGGACAGUAUUUAUUUGUCUUUCGGUACUUUGAAAAGAAUGUUCCAAUGUCUUCUAGCUUGCAUAGAUUAUAAUCAAUCUUAUUGUCUGUGGUGGGGCGAGGUGCUGGGCAUCAAUCAAACUCAGGGCCUUGCACAUGUUGGGCAAGUGCUCUGCCACUGAGCUCACCCCCAACCUAAAAUCUUAUUGUCUUAAUUAAUUAGUUAGGGCUGCUAUAACAAAAUACCAUGGACUGGGUGGCUUACAAAAAUGGAAAUUUAUUUCUCACAAUUCCAGAGUCUACAAGUUUGAGACAGGGUGCUAACACCCUGGUUACAGACUUCUUUGUGAUCUCACAUGGUGGAAAAGAACACAAGAGAAAUCUAUGAGGUUCCUAUCACAAAAACAGAGAGACAGAAAGAUUCCCACUCCUUAAGUGAGGACUAUGCAUAUAUCAAUACUUUCCAAAAGUACAAAUGCAAAAAGAGGGAAAAUAGGGUAACUUUACAGUACAGAAAACUGACACACACUACCUCAGCCAGAUGAUCAGGGUCAACAUGAUCAAUAAGUCAUAUUAAGCAGAGCACAAUGGCACAUGCCUGUGAUCACAGAGGCUUGGGAGGCUAAGGAAGGAGGGUUGCAAGUUCAAAGCCAUCUUGAGCAACUCAGUUUGGCCCUAAGGAACUUAGUGAGACCCUAAGCAAUUCAGCCAGACUCUGUCUCAAAAAAUAAAAAGAGAUGGGAAUAUGGAUAGUGAUUAAGUACCCUUGGAUUCAAUCCCCAGUAUCAAAAACAAAAACAAGUCAUGUUGACAAUAUGUCUGUUUCAUACAGUAUAAUGAAAAGGGUACUCAGACCUAGGCCUUCCCCAAAACCACAAACACCAUUCUAAUCAUGUGAAAAACUCCAGACAAAUACCAAAAUAAGGAGAUGUUCUACAACUACCUGAGUAAUACUAACUCAAAACUUUCAAAAGCAGGCUAUGGGUGUGCUCAAUGGUAGAGAGCUUGACUGUAUGAAGUCCUGGAUGUAUGAAGGAUGUAUGAAGCCUGGGUUUGAUCCCCAGCACAUCAUGGGCAUUACAAACAAGAAGUCAGAGAAAUUGUCAUAGCUAAGAAAAGCCUAAGGAGACAUGACAACUAAACAUAAUGUGGUACCUAGGAUGGGAUUCUGAAGCUGAAAAAGGGCAUUAGAUUAAAAAAAGGACUUAGAUAAUAACAUAUCAACAUUAGCUCAUUAAUUAUAGCGUGUUUUUUUUUUUCUUUCUUUUGCAGUACUAAGGAUUGAACCCAGGGUCUUAUACAUGCAAGGCAAACACACAACCACUGAGCUACAUCCCCAGACCUAGCUCAUUAAUUUUAACAAAUAUACCUUUCUAAUAUCAGCUGUUAAUUAAUAAUUGGGAGAAAAGGAUACAGGGCAGAUAGGCAUCUGUGAAAUUUUUUGAUAAAUAUAAAAUUAUUAAAAAAAAAAAAACUAUGGGAGUUUUCUGGUAUUUUGUUUUGGCACUUGGGGUUGAACCCAGGACCUCAUGGUGCUGCCUUAACCUUAGGAGAGGUUCCAUAUGACUCAAAUAGGAGUUCUGUCAAAUAGGCAAGCUCUCUCUAUUCUAAAUUACACCCCUAGUCCUUUUUAAAAAAAUUUUCUUUUUGGGAGUACUGGGAAUUUAACUCAGGGUCCCUCAACCACUGAGCCACAUUCUCAGCCCUAUUUUGUAUUUUAUUUAGAGACAAGGUCUCACUGAGUUUCUUAGCAACUUGCUGUUCCUGAGGCUGGCUUUGAACUUGAGAUCCUCCUGCCUCAGCCUCCUGAGCUACUGGGAUUACAGGUGUACAGGUGUGAACCACCAUGUCCAGCUCCUUUUUUUUUUCCUCUUUUUUCUUCAGGUACUGGAGAUUGAAUCCAGGAGCACUUAACUACUGAGCCACAACCCCAGCCCUAUUUUGUAUUUUAUUUAGAGACAGGGUCUCACUGAGUUGCUUAGCAACUUGUUCCUGAGGCUGGCUUUAAACUCUCAAUCCUCCUGCUUCCACCUCCAAACUGCUGGGAUUAUAGGCAUGUGCCACCACGCCCGGAACGCCUAGCUCCUUUUAAAAUUUUGAGGCAGAGUUUUGCUAAAUUGCCACAGCUAACCCCAAACUCUCUAUCUUCCUGUCUCAGGCUGCCCAGCAACUGGGAUUACAGGCAUGUGUCACUGUACCCUGCUGAGAGCUCUCUUUUUUAUUUACUUUUUUGCUGCCUGGGAUUAAACCUAGGGGCCCUUAACCACUGAACCACAUCCCCAGUCCUUUUUAUUUUUUAUUUGAGACAGGGUCUCACUAAGUUUCCUAGGGUCUUGCUAAAUUGCUGAGCCUGGUUUUGAACUUGCAAUCCUUCUGCCUCAACCUCUCUAGUUGCUGGGAUUACAGGUAUGUGCCAAUGUGCCCUCUGGAAACUCUCCUUUUUAAAACACAACUGCCAGGCUUUUGGUUUGCUAGAGUGUUCUCUUAGAUCUCUGGGUACCAGACCUUGUUUUCUGCAGUUCAGGUGCUCUCUUUCAGCCCUGUUCCUCCUCAUUGUCCUUCCUUUUUUUGUUUGUUUGCAGUGCUGGAGAUGGAACCCAGGGCCUCACACAUACCAGGCAGGCAAGCAAGUGCUCUACCACUGAGCCACAUCCCCAGUCCCCACCUUCUUUUGGAGGUCAGCUUUCCUACACUGGAUGGUAGCUUAAUGUCUCUCACCUCUCUAGCCCUUUCCUCAGUCAUUACUGGUUGAAUACAGGGAGUUCCAGUGUACAAGGUAGGGGUCUCAACCCCAGAUCUUUGUCUGUCUUCAGCCUUCUAGAACUGAAAAUCUGAAGAGCAUGUGCUAGUUUCUCUCAGUGCUGCCUUAACUUUAGGAGAGGUUCCAUAUGACUCAGAUAGGAGUUCUGUCAUUCUGUGAAGCAUUCAGUGAAGACCUAUGAUUAAGAUAAGAGCAAGAGGUAGGUUCUUUGGUACAAGAGCUGAUGUUCCUCAGCUGAUGUUCCACAGGAUUCUAUCCUGUUGCAUUAGUCCACAUGCAGAUAUAGCUUAGUAGUAGAGUGCUUGCUUAGCAUGUUCUAGGUUCUAGGUUCAAUACCCAGAACCAGGAAAAAAAAAGCAGGGAGAAGGAGUACGAAGAAGAUGAUAAACAGAAAGAAAGAGGAGGAAAAAAGAAAGAAGACAAUUUGCUGAUUCCUUUCAUCCCAUCUAAGGCAGAUUCCUAUUCCUUAGGCUGUUUUAUCUCAGAGCAGCCAUGGGUUUCUUCUUUAUUAUGAAGGUUGAAUUGUUUUCUGAAUCAUUCGUUUGGUUCAUUUAGGUUUCCAUGUAUCCUUGAUUCUCUGGUAGGUUUGUAAAAAUUUCAGUUCUAAUUUGGCUUCUAAGGGUUUUCAGGGAAAGAACAAUAAUAUCAUGCAACUUUGUACAUCUGAAAAGCAAGGAGACUUCUUGCCCCGUUUUGGAUGGUUCCCGCCCUGGUAUACUAAAGUGUCUGUACUCAAAUAUCACCUUUUCAAAGACACUUCCCCGACUCCAUUUAAAAAGUCUCACAGAUACCAGUCACCCUUCAUCUCCAUACCCUACUCUUUACUUUUCUUCCAUUGCCCUCAUCUCUCUGAAAUGUACUUGUCUCACUUCUUUAGCUGUCUCCUCUACUAGAAGUUAGGUUCCAUAAUGACAUGAAUUUUGUUUUUCUUAUUUGUCAGUAUAUCCACAGGAGCAAAUAUGAUUGCUCAUAAUUUUAGCUUGCCUUGAAACUAAUUAAAUAUAAAAUUAUUAUUGUACUUUAUAAAGUACUUAUUAUAGAUACUUUUCAUAAUAGUGUAAGAGAAUUACAAAAUCUCUCAGUGAAAAGCAAACAUUAUUCAUUGCUUGCAAUGUUGGCUAUAAAUAUUAUUAAUAUGGUUAGUACUUUAUCACUUUUUAUCUUUGUUUAUUUAUUUGUUCUUUUUAGUUAUAUAUGACAGUAGAAUGUAUUUUUGCCUAUCAUACAUACAUGGAGUAUAAUUUCCCAUUCUUAUAGUUGUAAAUGAUGUAGAGUUACACUGGUCAUGUAUAAAUAAACAUAGGAAAGUUCUCUUUGAUUCAUUCUGUUGUCUUUCUUAUUCCCAUCCCCCUCCAUUCCCUUCAUUCCCUUUUGUCUAAUCCAAUGAACUUCUAUUCUCCCCUCUCUCUUACUGUAUGUUAGCAUCAAAGGCAACACUUGGCUUUUGAUUUGGGGAGACUGACUUAUUUCACUUAGCAUGAUAGCCUCCAGUUCCAUCCAUUUACUGGAAAAUGCCAUAAAUUCGUAAUUCUUUAUGGCCGAGUAAUAUUGCAUUGUGUAUAUGCACCACAUGUAUUUUUUAUAUCACUGAAACUAGCCAGGCAUGGUGGCACAUUCCUAUAAUCCCAGUUACUUGCUACCCAGGGGCAGGGAGACUGAGGCAGGAGUGUCAUAAAUUCCUGGACAGCUUUGGCAAUUUAGCAAGAUCCCUCCUCUAAAAAAAACAGGGUUGGGGAUAUAGUUCAAUGGUAGAGUGCCCCUGAGUUCAAUCCCCAUAACACCACAAAAAAAAAAAAAAAAAAAAAAGAUUCUUGUUACACUGAAGAACGAAGUGUGUCUUAAAAAUUACUCAUACUUUAUCUUACACUUUUUUGUCAAUCAUUCACUCUAAGCAAGUUAUCAAUUAAAAUGAAAAACUUUGUACAAACUAAUUCAGUAAUGCUGAGGUAAAUACUAUUCAAACUCAUAAGAGGUAAGUUCUCCAACUUAUACACAGAUUGUGUGUUCUCCCAGUUGUUAUGUUUUGUUAUUAAAACUUAAAAAACAUUUUUUACAAACAGAAAAAAUUAUGAAAUUAAGUUUAGAUACUGGACAAUAAACAGAGGUCAAUUUAACCCAUAAAGUACCUAAGAACCACAGAAAUGGAAAGGAAUAAGCAUAAUUGUUAGGUAACUUUCAACCACUUCUUUUCCUUUGUGCUCCCCACAACUAGCAAAAGGCUGCUGGGGCUGGGUUGAUUUUUCUGAGAUAGGAAUUGCACAACAUCUUGGUAAACACAAAGAGUAUAUAACAAAGUACUUGCCUUCUGUCUUUAAAAUAUUCAUUUAAUGAAUAAUGAAUAAGAAUUCAGACCACUAUUCAACCACCCUGCUUCUAUAAGGAAAUGCAUUAUGAUUUCCAACUAAAUGAAUAUUUUCCUUAAUCUUGGCAGCAAGAUAAAAGUUGAGCACCAAGAAUUAUGGAGUGUAUGCAGGUACUCCCAGAAAUUUCCUAGAAAUCACAUUUUGGUCACUCAUACUGUUUCUAAAUGUAUAAAUAAUUAAAUUGGGAUUCCAUAAUAUAAAACUUGCCCUCCAAAAUUUCCCUAGCUUCUUUCUCCUUACCAAUAUUUUAAAUAAAAAUAGCCACCAACAUUUUAUUUGAAUCAAUUAUUUGCAGUUUCUAUUUCUAUAUUAACUAUAAUUAUAGUUAGUACAGAAGGUUAUCGAUCAUAAACUUAAUACAAUGGCCAAAAACAAUACAAAAAAGUAAUUACAAGAGUCAAUAUCCAAAUAAAAAUCUGAGUAAACGCAAUAUUUCUAUAAUGCAAGUGCAACUAUCUAUACUUCAACAUUCCCAAAAUGAGGUAGACAAAGGUAUACAACACAAAGUUAUUCAGUGACAAUAACAAAUUAUUUUAGUCAUCAAAAUAACUGCAAAAAUUACUGAAAAUUGUAAGUUAUAAUUACAGAAUUUAGUAGACAACCUAUUCAAUGUCCAAAGUGAUUACUGACCUUCAUAUUUUAAAACCUGAAAAAAAUUUACCUAAGAAAGGAAACAAUUCAAUAUCUGUAAUAUAUCUGCAAAGGAAUAGGAUGAUUUAUCCAGAUACACAAAGUUCCCUUCAAACUUUAUGGAAUGAAUGAUAAUCACAUUUUUUUCUUCCAAAUAUAAAAUUCACCUGGAUUAACACCUGAAAUAAGAUAAGGCAUAAAGCCACCUAAUCUAGCAUUCAAAAUUACUCCAUAAAAGUUAUUUCUCUAGAGUGCAUUUUCUGCUUUAAAAAUCCUUUUGGGAGUGCUGUGGGGAAUAUUGAUAAUUGAACCCAGGGGCACUUUACUACUGAACUACAACUCCAGUCCUUUGCUUAUUAUUAUUAUUAUUAUUUUUAGACAAAUUCUCACAAAGUUCCUGAAGAUCUCUCUGAGUUGCUAAGGCUGAACUUGAACUUAAGACCCUUUUACCUCUGACACCUGAGUCUCUGGGAUUACAGGUGUGCACCACCACUUGUGGCUCUGCUUUAAUAUUUUAUACUUCCAAUGAAACCAUUUUAUUUUACCUCUCUACAAUGACUUCAUUUUAUGCUAAUUAGUAAAAGCUGUAUAAGCAUUUGUUUAUUACAAAUGAAAGAGACUGAACUGACAAUGACAGUGAAAGACAGCAACAGAGAGAGAGACAACGGCAUCAGUGGAGACAGAAUGUCUCUUAACCACCUAAGACAUUAACACAUUAAUUAACACAAUAUCUUUCACAGAAACAUGAUUGUGUGUGUAUGUAUAUUUCACAUGAUAAACACAAUCAGCCACUGAGCUUUACUCCCUGCCCUCACAUAAAGAUUUAAGUGAUAAGUGAUGUCUUUAUACGAUGAUUGAAAAUUUUUAUUUUACAUUCAAGAAAAUUUAAUUACAAUUAAUUAGGUCUACUCCCAGUUUCUUCAACUUUUCAUCAAUUUUUUAUUCAUAAAAAAAUUUCAAGUAUUAUCUCAGACAUUAUAACCAACAGAAUAAUUUUUGCUUGCUUGAAAGUCCAUUUUCAAAUCCAAGAUUCAUAUCUUAAGAUUACACCCCUGAUAAACUACAAAUUUAUAGUUAAAUUUUGAUUGAAAAAUAUUUUCUAUAUGCCUAGGGCUGAAGUUCAGCAAUCCUCAGCACCACAUAAAAAUAAGUGAAUAAAUAAAGAUAUGUGUCCAUCUACAACUAAAAAAAUUUUUUUAAAUAUAUUUUUCUGUAGAAAAAGCAUUAUUCAAUUUCCUGCUUUAGUAAACUAUGCAACAAAAAGUGAAAACAAAGAAAGCCAGGAAAUCCAAUACAUCACUUUUAGAAAACUAUCCUCAUAUGAAAGUAAAUACCAUCAAUUCCAAGCAUACUCUAAACUUCCAGAAGUAGGUGGGUGGAGUAACAGUGCAGCACAAAAAUUUGACACUAUUCCUAUAGCGUUAUGUUUAUAUUUUAAAGUUUUCAUUCUGUAAAGCAAAUGAAGCAAAUUGAGACUUAAUUCUUAUAAUCCAUCUGGCUUGCAGAAGGGCUGGCUGUUUUGAGUAUGAAUAGUCUCAAAUCAACAUUUUACUAGCCAUUUUUCUUCAUUUCUUCCAAAGUAUAAGAGCAUUAAAAUUAAUAUAACAGGUCUGGAGGUCUAGCACAAUGGUAGAAUACUUCCCUAGCACACACAAAGCCCUGGGUUCUAUCCACCGCACUUCAAAAAUAAAAAAUAAGAAUGCGGGUGCUUUGAAAAAGUUUUGGUACUUCUUCAAAAAGUUAGACAUAGUGUUAGCAUAUGACCCAGUAAUUCCAUCCUAGAUACAUACUAAGGAGAAGUAAAAACCAUGUUCCAACAGAACUUUAUACAUGAACAUUUAUAACAGUACUAUUCAUAAUAUCCCAAAACAGAAACAACUCAAACAUCCAUAAACUGACAAACAGGUAAAAUUAAUAUGGUAUGGGCACACAAUAAAAUAUCACUCAGAUAAAAAGGAAUGAAGUAGUGAUAUAUGCUACAAUGAGAAUAAACCUUAAAAUCAUUAAGCUAAGUGAAAGAAGUCAGACACAGAAGGCAACAUGUUGUGUGAUUCCAUUUAUAUGAAACAGAGUAAGUAAAUCAGAGACAUAAACCAGAUGAGUGGCUGUCAGGAGCUGGGGGAAGGCAGGAAUGGAAAGUGAGUGAAAUGCAGUUUCCUUUUGGGAUGAUGAAAAGUUCUGGAACUAGAUAAUGGUGAUGGCUGCAAAACAACGGGAACGUACUUAAUGCCACUAAUACAUCUAUGUCAUAUAACUACAUAUCUUAAUUAACAAAAGAAACCCUACAUAAAAGAAAAUUGAUGCUGCCUUCUCAUCAGAGAAAGUCAACUUCUGAAAUAAAUGUUGAUUGCUUUGGUACCCAUUUAAAACUCUGUUCUUAAUUUGAUAAGUAUAUUAUAAAAUUUCAAAAGUAAACCUUUUUUUCUACAAUAUCCCUACUUAAGCUUUUCUAUUUACUAGGAAUUCUCAUUAUUUCCUACUUUGCAAUGCUUAGUCCACCAGUGUAGGAAUCAAUUUCAUAUUUGUCUAAACAAUUCAAGUGAAUUUUAAAUUGGACAUAAUAUUUUAUUAAAUUUGGCUUGCUAAUACUGUGUUAAACGUUAGCACAGGAGGGAAACAUGUUUAUUUCUAAUAAAUGAGAUCAGCAAAAGAAGAAAAGCAUUUUAAAUAGCAAACAAUUUAAUACUGUACUACUCAUUAAGUUCUCUGAUAGUUUUUUUGAUAUUCAACAGAAAAGGCAACAUUUUAAAGUCAUGCCAAAUGCAGAGCCAAACAAUUUCUUUUUACCCAAGUACAACAGGUAAUACCACUUUUGUGAAACCUAAUUCUAGGCAAGGCUAAAUUGAGCUACUUAUAUAAAAAUAUGCCCACUAGUCACUCAUAGUGUUCUAUUUGCUCAUAAUGUGAUUUGAUUAGAGGAGGCUAUGUCCAUGAAUUAACCAUGGAAUCUACCAGAUUAAUAACAGUUUCAAAUUAGACAGGUGACACAUGCCUAUAAUCCCAGAAGUUUGGGAGGCUGAUGCAGGAGGAUCACAAGUUCAAGGUCAGCCUCAGAAAUUUAGUGAGACCCUGCCGGCUCCCUGCAAAAAAAAAAAAAAGAGGGCUGGGGGUGUAGCUCAGUGGUAGAGUGCCCCUGGGCUAAAUCCCCAGUACAAAAAAAAAAAAGUUUUAAUUAAAAGUAAUAACUUUUGGGAAAGGGCUGUGUCUCAGUGGUAGAGCACUUGCCUAGCAUGUGUGAGGUACUGGGUUGAUUCCUCGCACCACAUAAAAGUAAGCAAAUAAAAUAAAGGUAUUGUGUCCAUCUACAACUAAAAAAAUAUUUUUUAAAAAAGUAAUAACUUUUAUUUGGGUCCCAUCCAAACCAGAAAAUGAACUAUAUGCCUUUUGCAUAUUAUUACUUAUUUUAGUCUAACAAUAACUUUACAGAUAAUAGGCUUACAUAAGGGCAUAACACCAGUAUAUUACAAAGCAAGGAUUCAAACCAAGGUCUAUCAGACAUAAAAUCAUUUCUACUAAGACAUUCUAAGGAUGGUUUGCAAAGGAACAUAUUUCCAGUUUAAUUGUCAAUCAUAUUCUCUCUUGAACAUAGUUUCUAAAUUAUCAGGGAAUGAGAAGAGAAAAACAUGCUUAAAAAGAACAUUGGUGGGGCUGGGGCAACGUUCUAGCUCAGUGGUAGAGCACUUGCCUAGCAUUCUCAGUAUUGCAUAUAAAUAAAUUAUAAAGGUCAAAUGACAACCAAAAAAAAUUAAAAAAAAAAAAUUGCUGAAGAAAGCAGGUAAGUGUCUGGGAGAAACAUUCAACAUAUUAUGUACCUACUAUGUGCCAUUUGCUGUGGGGCUCUUAUAUGUCUAAAUAUUUAAUUAUUGCAAAACCCCUGGAACAUAGGGAUUUUUAUAUAUGAGGAAACUGAAGUGUAGAGAAACCUGUCAAAGUCAUAGAAGUUGCAAGAGAUGGAGUCAGGAUUGGAAACUAAAUUUAGUUCAUCGUUAAAUAUUUACUGAAUGCCUGCUAUGUACUAGGGCUAUAAAAGAGAUUUAAAACAGAAUAUUAGAAAUCCCCCAUCACAGAACUCAAACUAAAACCCCUUUCCUUUCUUUCUUUCUUUUCUCUUUUUUAAGGUCCAGGCUCUAGCCUAAACUCCUGGGCUCAAGUGAUCCUCCUGCCUCAGACUCCUUAUUAGCUGGAACUACAUGUGCAUGCCAAAAUACCUGGCUCUCAAACACAUUUUCUUUUUGUUCAGGAAGUUGUAAAACUGAAAAAUCCCCCAUAGAUAUCUCUUUGAAUAGUUCUAUUUUAAAUGACUGUUUAAAUGUUUAGGUUACACACAUUAGUAAUACCCAUAAACCCCAAACAUAGAGUGCCAUGAAAACCAAACAAGCAUCCAGUAGUAAAUUCUGUCCUACAUGCAGAUUUUUAACAAUACUACCAGAUGAUGCCACAUUAGAAAAGACACUUCACAUGUUUUGGAGGAGGAUUUAAAUCAUUAAACAUUCUAUGAAGACUGAAGUUGUAUGAGAUUUUAAAUGGCAACAGUAAAAUUUCAAAAAGAACAGAAGUAGUCAGCACAAAGCUAGUUUAACAUUAAUAAUAAGUGAGCUAAUAAACAGGUCUAUGUUUACCCCAUCAGGUACUGCUUAUUAUGUCAUCUGGAAAACCAGAAGGAAACUGGUUUUAACUCCCAUAUAACCUGUAUCAUGACAACAUCACUUUACCACAAAUCAGCUGAUACCAGCAUAAAACUGGGGCAGUUCACAUUAAAAAACUGUUUCUUCCUUUCCAAGCACUUUCAUAAUUCAUUCAUGUACAGACUUUAUAGAGUAUCUCCUUAAGGGAAAAAAAGGGGACAAUUAACACAGAACAUUUGAUAUGCCAGAUACUACAUGAGUUUUCUUAUUUAAUUCUCAUAGCCAUCUUGCAAGAUAUUAUCAUGGUCUAUUAGAGGAAGAGACAGAACUUUUAAGAAACAAAGUAACUUUUCUAAGGCCACAUAACUAAUAAAAAGCAUCAUGUUCAAAUUCAGAUGAAAUUAUUAUAAUGUUGCACAGCACUAAAUGGCUGUCACUUUCUUAACCUGCAAAAAAUAAUAAGUAAGUAAGUAAUAAAGGAGAUGAACUGGAUCAUCUCUAAGAUCCCUAAACAUUAAAAACUUUAUGAGAAUAUAAUCUUGGGGCAGGAAAAGCAGAGUGCAAAUAACAACCUGGAUUAAAAAAAAUUAUAGCUCUUUUUAAAAAUUCCUGGGAAGGUCACUAUGAAACAGAAUACAAAACAGUUUCAGGUAGAAAACUUCACACAUAAAUAUAACAUUUAGUAUUAUCAAUAGAGAACCUAGUUAGAAAAAACUAGUUCCAUCUUAAAACAAUGCCAUUGUAAAAGUCUGCAAUUAGGUGGCUGGGGUAUCGCUCAGUAGUAGAGGACUUGCCUCCUAUGUGUGAGGCACUGGGUUCGAUCCUCAGCACCACGUAAAAGUAAAUAAAAAAAAUAAAGAUACUGCAUCCAUGUAUAACUAAAAAAUAUGUUUAAAAAAGUCUGCAAUCACCAGUGUAAGCCAGCUCAGGCAAGGUCACCUAGGGUCAAAUCCAUGAACAACUAAUCCAUAAAUAAAUAUUGAAAAAUCAUGAGGUUCUAGAGUCAAACAAGUUUGAGAAAUGCUGGAUUUAACAUUAGUCCUGUUUCCUUACUGGCUGCAAGUAGUAUAUUGGGCUUGAGACCUAUGAAGUCACUCCUUUUUUUUUUAUAGGACACAAUAUCUUUAUUUUAUUUAUUAUUUUUAUAUGGUGCUAAGGAUCAAACCCAGUGCCUCACAUAUGCUAGGCUAGGCAAGCACUCUAUCACUGAGCCAUAACCCCAGCUCUAGAGUCUUCCUGGAUUUGAAUCCCAGCUCUUCCAUUUCAGCUCAGCCAUGUGAUUUAUAGUAGAUAAAGUUUUUGUAAAGAUUAGAAAGAUUGCUGGAUGCAGUGGCCCAUGAUAGUAAUCCCCAAAACUUGUUAGGCUGAGGCAGGAGGAUCACAAGUUCAAAGCCAGCCUCAGGAACUUAGUUAAGCCCUAAGCAAUCUAGCAAGACUCUAUCUAAAAAUUAAAACAUAAAAAAAAAUAUGGGGGCUGGGGAUGUGGCUCAAGUGGUAGUGCACUCGCCUGGCAUGCGCGGGGCGAUGGGUUCAAUCCUCA
rnacentral:lncRNA from 1 species